rnacentral:rRNA from 1 species
UAGAAAGUUACUUCGGUACAUCGGUGACAGGUGGUGCAUGGUUGUCGUCAGCUCGUGUCGUGAGAUGUUGGGUUAAGUCCCGCAACGAGCGCAACCCCUAUUGUUAGUUGCCAUCAUUCAGUUGGGCACUCUAGCGAGACUGCCGGUAAUAAACCGGAGGAAGGUGGGGAUGACGUCAAAUCAUCAUGCCCCUUAUGACCUGGGCUACACACGUGCUACAAUGGUUGGUACAACGAGUUGCGAGUCGGUGACGGCGAGCUAAUCUCUUAAAGCCAAUCUCAGUUCGGAUUGUAGGCUGCAACUCGCCUACAUGAAGUCGGAAUCGCUAGUAAUCGCGGAUCAGCACGCCGCGGUGAAUACGUUCCCGGGCCUU